GGGGUUAUAGCUCCGUUGGUAGAGUGCCUGCCUUGCAUGCGCAAGGGCCUGGGUUCAAUCCCCAGCAUUGCCA
rnacentral:tRNA from 1 species